rnacentral:lncRNA from 1 species
UGGAAAGGUUGUGAGCUUAGCCUAUAAUACUGAACUUUAAAACUGAAAAGAAAAUUUAGUUUUUCAUGAAAUAUAAAUUUCAACCUAUUAAUUAUGGUUUAAUUAUUUUCAUUUUUAGGUUCUUGAACUACGUUGUCUUUUAUAUAUAAUAAGUUGUUUAAGUCAUAUCAAUAUGUAUCCAUAAUUUUAUUUACGAUUCUCUUUUUCGAUUGUUUUUCUCACUAUUUUGUAAUUCCAUGUGAAUUUAGGUGAUUACGUAAUACUUUUAUGCAUGAUUAUUUUUGGUAAACUUUGAAAUAUUUAAAAUAUUCAGGCGGAAUGUACUUGCAAAAAAUUUAAAGUAUCUACAUUGCAUUUUUAUUAUAUAGUUUAGUUUUUAAAUAUUUGUCAACCUUAUGUUUUUUUUGUAAUUAUUCUAAAAUAGAUAAAUUUGCUAUUGCAAUUUCUUUGUUAUCAUAACGAGCGUCAUAAGACAUAUUAAAAAUCUUUUUUAUUUAUUGGUUAGUAAUAGAGUUCACAUUUUUACAUGAACGCAGUAUAAUAGAAAUAAUUUAAAAUAUUUUUAACAUGAUAUUUCAAAGGUGAACAUUAAAAAAAAUAUCAACAAAAGGAAAAACACUUUCACAACCUAGUUUCAAAACUAAUAAAAAUUUAUAAUCAAUAUGAUUAUUAUCACCUUCAUUACUAUAUGUUCAUAAAAUUUAUUGUUAUUCACUAUUAUCUUUAUGAGACAAUAUUUUAACUUUUGGGGUGGAUAGAAGACAAUAAUUUCAAUGAAAUUUCAAUCAUCUCUUGUUUGUUCUAUAGCUGUCUUGUCAGCAUAUUCUCUUGUUUUAGUGUUUAAAACAUAUAUUUAAUGUUAAAAAAUGGUAUAAAAUAUGUAAGUCGCUCUACCAAUGUUGAUUUGGCAUACUAAACAUAGUCACAUUGAGAAGGCUACUAUGUUAAACAAAUACGUUAAGUAGCUAAGUAAUAUGUAUAUGUAUAUGUCAUUUUAUUUCAAAGACAUGCAUUUGGAGUGUUUCA